rnacentral:tRNA from 1 species
AAGUAAUUUGCUGCUCAAACCGCUCGGAGUCGCGAACUAG